ACUUCCACUUCCACUUCAACUUCGUGUGUUGUGCUGUAUUAUACGUGGGCUUGGAGUAUUUGGAGAGAGUGUAGGUUAAAGUAGUUACAUUUUGACUUCAGUAAAACAUACUACAAACUUUAAGUUGGAAUGUUACUCUGAAGAUUUACUGGCAGUACCAGCAAGCGGAGAUUGCAGACACUGUUUCGUCUCAAUCAUCAGUGAUCAUAAGCUCAAAGCUGAACAGGUGACCAACUGGCCAAUCCUCUCAGUAAGCCUAAUCGCCUAAUCGGCCAGACGACUGGCCAUCUCAGGCAGUCAGGCUGGGAGUCCGGCCACAGGUCAUGGACCCCGUCUCCGCGCCAGUGGUGUACCGCUGUCGCGGCUGUCGGCAGUGCCUGUUCAGCUCGGAGCAGACGGGCGCGCUCCAGACGCCCUCGUGCUGCCGCGGCGCCCGGGAGCUGCGCGGUCUCUCAGAGGAGCAGCUGCCCGGAUGGGCCCUCCAGCAGGUUGAGGAGGCUGGAUGGACGCGCGGCCGCCUCCUCUGCCCCGCGCCCGGCUGCGGGGCGAAACUGGGAACCUUUGACUUUAUCAGUGGUGCGAGUUGUGACUGCAAGAACAUGGUGUUGCCGUCCGUCCGUUUGGUGAGGUCACGGUUGGACGAGCUGACCCCCGCCCCCGGCUCAGUGCGACCAGCCAUUGGCACAAGCGCCCCCGGAGACACGGCCGCUUCGUAACGGAUGUCCUUUCUAGCUGCUGUUUCAGCCGGGCAACUGUAACACAACAUGUGAUUCAGACUUCAGAGUGUUUCGCGACAACUGUUAUAUUAUUUGCUGUAUUGGCAUAAUAUUUACAUGAAAUACUC